CCCUGAUACAUUGGAAGCCAUACUCUUAAACGGUUGCCGUUAAUUAUUGCAACCUGUGGUAAAUCAUAACAACUAGAAGAUCGCAUGGAGAGUGUGCAUCCAUUCAACCAUAUGGGCAAUUGUUAAUUAUCUGGAUCAGACUCAAAGCUAUAUAUGCUAUGAUUUGUAAAUGGUAAUUUUAGACCUGCCUGGCUCCCUGAAUGCCAUCUAUGAAGAAUUGCCAAAGUAGGGGUUGGCUGCCUUCCUACUUGGCAUAAAGGGAGCCAUGCAGGUCCUAGUAUAAUUUUUAUCCUUUUACUCCUUAUCCUAUCAUUUCAUUGUCUAUUAAUUACUCUUGAAGCAGAGUACGACAACCUUCUCAACAACGGUACUGUUAUUGCUCCAACAAUGGAAGUGCGGUGAAGAUAUCAUGUCAGGUUGGUUUGAGUAUUCCCUUUAGGGCCAACGGCGGAUCGUCCGGAUUAGAAUUGAUAUUGGAGAAAUCAGGGCAAGAGAUUGAAGGAAUUAUGUUGCUCCUCUUUAGUUCCAUGAGAAUGGUGUAUGCUUCUUGGUUGGGUAAUUUUCAACUGUUUAUUGCACUUGUAUGUAUCUUUUUUGUUGUUGUUUUUAUUUUAUUUUUUAUUUUUGUGAAAGUGUGAAUCCAGCACACUGCCAUAGAAUUAUAGUCACUCUUAGAUAAAUGUUGUCUUGCUACUUUCUCAAUUUGUGUCAGUCAAUCAAUUUCGAACUUUAUGUC